rnacentral:rRNA from 1 species
AGACCUACGGGGGGCAGCAGUGGGGAAUAUUACACAAUGGGGGAAACCCUGAGGCAGCGACGCCGCGUGAGUGAAGAAGUAUUUCGGUAUGUAAAGCUCUCUCAGCAGGGAAGAAAAUGACGGUACCUGACUAAGAAGCCACGGCUAACUACGGGCCAGCAGCCGAGGUAAUACGUAGGGGGCAAGCGUUAUCCGGAUUUAAUGGGUGUAAAGGGAGCGUAGACGGCGGAGCAAGUCUGAA